AACCUGAUGGACUGAAGGGCAGUGGGGAGGGAGCACGUCUGCACUGGCCAGGAGGGCUGUCCCCCACUCCCUGGGGGACUCCAGAGUGCAGAGGGGGAAACUGAGGCAUGAGCUACAACUCAGCAAAUGAAAAAGGUUACUUUUGAAUUCAAAACUAGCUUUCUCUUACUGAGAGAUUAAUUCUGUAACCGCUGCUUAUCCAUGCAGGUCCAGCAAAGCUGGAAAGGGAGAAGGCCCAGACAUGCUGUCAACAUGAUGUUCUACUUCUCUGCUCAAGCAGAAGUUACCAACUACCCUGUUCUCUUUCAUUUGGGGCCAGACUUGUGUCUGAGAUGGAGAAACAUGGAGAAAUCAUGCAGCAUGCUGGGGAAAGUGAGGCUUGUAUCCUGAUAGAGUAGGAUGUGACUGGAAGCACUGGGGGAUAACUACUGAUCUGCAACUUAGAUUUAAUUUGAUGAAUUGUUAUCAUCUCUAAAGCCAAAUAUCUGGGGUCAAUUCUGAGAGGUCCAAGCCCAAGAAGAGCUGAUCAUUCUUGCUGAGAGAAGGGCAGCUUGCUAACUUUCUUCCCUCCUGCAUUACCCCCUCAGCUGCAGCCCACCUGAAACCACAGCACGUGCCCCUCAAUUCAGUGCUCAGGGCUGUUUAAACUUCUUUGUCUUUGUAAAGCAAACUGGUGACAGGCAAUAGAGUGGCAGCAGACUAGUACAGAGGUCAGGAACGAGGCCAUGGUGUGAGGUGACUUGUAGCUAUGACAGGAAUACAUAAGACAGUUUUCAUAUAUAAUUGUUAUGAAAAAUAAAUGGAAAUGUUGAUACAGAUUUGAAGACACUACUGCCAAUUGCCUGUGCGACACUAAUCAAAGGUUAAAGAAAGCAUAAUCAAAAUGCAGUUAAAGUAAAAACAAAUGCACAAGGUAUCUGUAGUAGCAAUAUUAAAUUCUCUAUCUAAUUCAAUAAUCAAACUGCCAUGUGAGUUUGUCAACCUCAACAAGCCAGUCAAGGAUAGACAUCCCUUUAUAAGCUCCCCAGGUGAGAAGCACACUGAAAUCAGGUGUCAGCUGAAGCCUCGUAUUUGCUUGUCUCCAGCUAAGGUGAUGCAGACUUAUGUGUUCAGGUGAUGGUCACCCCAGCCUGCCCAGCACAGGUAAACACAUACAGGUUUCCAGUGGUAGUUUCUCUCUUUGAAUUCUGUCCCAAAGAUGUGCAUCUUGCAGGUCAGGAGUUAGAGUUGGGGUGAUUUAGAUGGAGAGGAUCAGGCACUGUCACCUCCCCGUGGCACUAUCCUGUUCUGAUACAACAAUUGCUCUCUAAAUUGUCAGCUACGUUUUCAGCUGCUGAAAUAAAUCAGCUGGGGGAUGGCUCUCAAAUAUUUAAAAAAAAAUGUUAAGGUAAAUAUGUUUCUACAUAAGAUCUGGAUCCUUCACCUGCAUUCACCUUUAACAAACCCGGGUGUAUCAUAUCUGUGUAUAUGUGUACUACACUGAUUUGGAAAAAAAAGAAGAAUCAAAUAGAACUGAGCAGCCUCUUGUUUGCUCUAAAUUACACUGAUUUUUUUUUUUCAAUAUCGCCAUAAUAAUUUUUAAUACUGCUUGUAUAUUGUCAUAGCAUAGACUCUGGUGUCAGGUUAACUAACAGGAGCUGUCCCAGAAAUGAUUCUUACUCCUCUCAGAACACACUGCAUGCCAUGUAAGUGGCACUUAGCUCAUGCACUGACAUUCAGCCAGGAGAACAGAACAGGUUUGUUUCUGGAAAAAUCCAUUAUCCUCAUCAUAACUUACAGCACCUGUUUAACUAACUUGUUUAGGCAGCUGAUAAAUAGCUGUCUGGAUUUCAGGAGACAGGGUCUGGGGGAGUUGUAUGGACAGAGGUGUGUGCUGCUUGAUGGGCUUGGGGAGAACACUGGAUGUCAACAAGAUCCCUCCUCGCACAGCAGGACUGGGCAAUGGGGCAGACAGAUCCCAACCUGGUAACUUUUUGUUGUCUGUGGGGCAGAUACCAGGUAUCACACAGCACUACCUUAACCACUGUCACACUUGAACACCUUUACAGUUGGCUUUGAGAACUAGUUGAAAAAAUCAGGUCCAUGUAAUACUUUUAUAAAAAUAGUCAUUAAAAAUGUGCCUAAAAAUGUAUCUAAGAGUAGAGAAGGUGAACUUCGAAGAACAAAAUCUAAAGAAAAUCAAUUAUUUCUAAUUCACAGACAGAGAACUGAAGCAAAAUUUUGUGACUUUUCAUCACAUCAGGUUUGCACUGUGUGGGAUCAGGAAUGGGAGCUGCAUGAGCAGAGCAGAGAAAGGAGAGCUGGCGAUGGACUCGCCCUGCUGCUUGGUCAGGAGAGGCUGGUUCUCUGCAAACAGGACACCUGACUCCCUCACCCUCCAGAAGAGAGAGCCAAGGAGCACAUACACUGAUGUUGGGAAGGAUGGAGGUGAAAGGACCACUGCUAGUAAUGUACACUCAUAUCCUUUGUUAAAAUGUCUGUGGAAAGCUAGUGCUGAUCCAGAACUUUCUAAAGGGAAAGUUAUUGGAAAGUGUUGAUUUAAAAAAAAAUCAAAGAUUGAUUUUGGAAUCACAGGGUUAAAUUGACUUUGUUGACAUCUUCACUGAAACUUAUCCAACCUUUGUGUUCUAAUUAUCUUAUUACUUAUAAAUCAAUAUAAAUUGAAAAUAUACAACAGUGUAAAUAUACAAGAAGAUAAA